GACGUAGGGCGCGAGCGUUGUCCGGAUUUAUUGGGCGUAAAGAGCUCGUAGGCGGCUCGUUGCGUCGGCUGUGAAAACCCGCAGCUCAACUGUGGGCUUGCAGCUGAUACGGGCGGGCUGGAGUUCGGUAGGGGAGACUGGAAUUCCUGGUGUAGCGGUGAAAUGCGCAGAUAUCUGGAGGAACACCGGUGGCGAAGGCGGCGAUCCUGGACCGGCAUUGACGCUGAGGCGCGAAAGCCAGGGGAGCAAAGCGGG
rnacentral:rRNA from 1 species